rnacentral:tRNA from 3 species
GCGGGUGUAGUUCAAUGGUAGAACGUCAGCCUUCCAAGCUGAAUAUGCCGGUUCGAUCCCGGUCACCCGCUCCA